rnacentral:rRNA from 1 species
GAGUUUGAUUCAUGGCUCAGAAGUGAACGCUGGCGGCGUGCCUAAUACAUGCAAGUCGAACGGACAAGUAAGAGCUUGCUCUUAUGAGUUAGUGGCGCACGGGUGAGUAAUGUAUAGCUAAUCUACCCUACACUAGAGGACAACAGUUGGAAACGGCUGCUAAUACUCUAUACUCCUGUCUUACAUAAGUUAGAUAGGGAAAGUUUUUCGGUGUAGGAUGAGGCUAUAUUGUAUCAGCUAGUUGGUGAGGUAAUGGCUCACCAAGGCUAUGACGCAUAACUGGUCUGAGAGGAUGAUCAGUCACACUGGAACUGAGACACGGUCCAGACUCCUACGGGAGGCAGCAGUAGGGAAUAUUGCUCAAUGGGGGAAACCCUGAAGCAGCAACGCCGCGUGGAGGAUGACACUUUUCGGAGCGUAAACUCCUUUUGUUAGGGAAGAACAAUGACGGUACCUAACGAAUAAGCACCGGCUAACUCCGUGCCAGCAGCCGCGGUAAUACGGAGGGUGCAAGCGUUACUCGGAAUCACUGGGCGUAAAGGACGCGUAGGCGGAUUAUCAAGUCUCUUGUGAAAUCCUGUGGCUUAACCAUAGAACUGCUUGGGAAACUGGUAAUCUAGAGUGAGGGAGAGGCAGAUGGAAUUGGUGGUGUAGGGGUAAAAUCCGUAGAGAUCACCAGGAAUACCCAUUGCGAAGGCGAUCUGCUGGAACUCAACUGACGCUAAUGCGUGAAAGCGUGGGGAGCAAACAGGAUUAGAUACCCUGGUAGUCCACGCCCUAAACGAUGUAUACUAGUUGUUGCUAAGCUAGUCUUGGCAGUAAUGCACCUAACGGAUUAAGUAUACCGCCUGGGGAGUACGGUCGCAAGAUUAAAAUCAAAGGAAUAGAGGGGAACCGGCACAAGCGGUGGAGCAUGUGGUUUAAUUCGAAGAUACGGAAAGAACUUUACCCGGACUUGAUUUCUAACGAAUUCAUCUAGAGAAUAAAAGAAGUUUUGGCUUGCAAGAAAAUGUUAGAACGGGUGCUGCACGAGCUGUCGUCGAGCUCGUGUCGUGAGAUGUUGGGUUAGUUCCCGCGAACGGGCGCGACCCACGUCGUUAGUUGCUGAACGGUUCGGCUGAGUACUCUAAUGAGACUGCCUUUCGGUAAGGAGGAGAAAGGUGUGGACG